UACGUAGGUGGCAAGCGUUGUCCGGAUUUACUGGGCGUAAAGAGCGCGCAGGCGGUCGUUCAAGUCGCGUGUGAAAGCCCCCGGCUCAACUGGGGAGGGUCACGCGAUACUGAUCGACUCGAAGGCAGGAGAGGGUAGUGGAAUUCCCGGUGUAGUGGUGAAAUGCGUAGAUAUCGGGAGGAACACCAGUGUCGAAGGCGGCUCGCUGGGCCGGACCUGACGCUGAGGCGCGAAGGCGUGGGGAGCGAACGGG
rnacentral:rRNA from 1 species